GCCUGUUGCACGAUCAUUUCCACCUGUAAGCCGACGACCAACAAAUACUUGCCCAAAUCCACCUUUACCUAGUUUUCUCUCUAUUUUAUACAUUGGUGACCCUCCUACUUGAACCUUUUCCGGAAAAGGCGCUGAGCUACCCUCUUCCUCUAUACCAGCAGCCUUAUUAGCACUCAAGCCGCCACUUUCAUCACCCAUCGCGCCUUUAUCUUCUUCUUCCUGAAGCUGUUGCACUUUUUUGUCCUCGAAACCAGUAUCUCUCUCAGAUAUAACAAUCACCUCGUCCUCCUGAUUCUUAUUUAACUCUUUGAUUGCCAACCUAG
rnacentral:misc_RNA from 1 species